AUACUUACCUGGCAAGUGUGAUACCAAGCCCGUGAAGGUGGUUUUCCCACGGUGAGCCUUAUCCGUUGCACUCUGGAUGUGCUAACCCCUGGGAUUUCCCCAAAUAUAGGAAACUAGACCUCAGAAUUUGUGGUAAUGGGGGACUGAGUUCGUGAUUGCCUCUG